UUCUUACUGUUUAAUUAUUGUAAGUAACACCUGCUCCAUGAAUCUUAAAUAGCCGCGGAAAUUUAACCGUGCUAAGGUAGCAUAAUCAUUAGCCUCUUAAUUAGAGACUCGUAUGAACGGUGAAACAUUUCCUAUACUUUAUUCAAUAAAUUUAUCAAAUUUAAACUAAGAAUCAAAAUGUUCUUAUUAAUAAAAUAGACGAUAAGACCCUAUUGAACUUCACUCUUGUUUAGCUGGGGCAGCUAAAAAAACAUGAUCUUUUUUUCCUUACUUUAAUAAAUGACCCAAUUCAUUUGAUUUUAUGAACAAGUUACCAUAGGGAUAACAGCGUAAUUUUUUUUUAAAGUUCUUAUUUAAAAAAAAGAUUGCGACCUCGAUGUUGAAUUAGUAUCCCCUAGAAGAUGCAGUAAUUUUUAAGGUAGGUCUGUUCGACCUUUAAAAUAUUACAU
rnacentral:rRNA from 1 species